AUUGAACGCUGGCGGAAUGCUUUACACAUGCAAGUCGAGCGGCAGCACGGACUUCGGUCUGGUGGCGAGUGGCGAACGGGUGAGUAAUAUAUCGGAACGUGCCCAGUCGUGGGGGAUAACGUAGCGAAAGCUACGCUAAUACCGCAUACGAUCUACGGAUGAAAGCGGGGGAUCGCAAGACCUCGCGCGAUUGGAGCGGCCGAUAUCAGAUUAGGUAGUUGGUGAGGUAAAGGCUCACCAAGCCGACGAUCUGUAGCUGGUCUGAGAGGACGAGCAGCCACACUGGGACUGAGACACGGCCCAGACUCCUACGGGAGGGAGCAGUGGGGAAUUUUGGACAAUGGACGCAAGUCUGAUCCAGCCAUUCCGCGGGCAGGACGAAGGCCUUCGGGUUGUAAACUGCUUUUGUACAGAACGAAAAGGUCUCUAUUAAUACUAGGGGCUCAUGACGGUACUGUAAGAAUAAGCACCGGCUAACUACGUGCCAGCCGCCGCCGUAA
rnacentral:rRNA from 1 species